CCAGCACUAUCCGAGUGCCUCCAUGGGCAGGUGGGGAGAUCAAAGAUCUCUGUUACAGUCCCAGAGGCAGGUGAGGACCCGGGGAGCUCUAGCCAGCAGUUCCCCCGGGUUCCUCUUGCGAAGUCGGAGCGUUGCAGUGGCACCGCUCAGAUCUUGCAAGAGUGAACUCUAGCCCUGCAGGCUAGAAUUCACUCUCACCACUAAGACCACCAGGG